rnacentral:lncRNA from 1 species
CAGCCUCCCAAUGUGCUGGGAUUACAGGUGUGAGCCACCACGCCCGGCCAAACUUUCUCAGUUUCGUGGGAAAGUAAUAAAAACAGGAAAUCUAAUGGAGGCAUCCUUAAUGAGGCUGGGCGCACGUCUGCAUUUGAAGUGCCUUUAUCGGCAUCACUGCCCAGGCAGCAGCUCACUGACCCAGCUCCACCAUUGGUCAUUUGUGGCUUUCUGUGGACCUCAAGCCUCCUACCUACCCUUCAAGAAAAUAUUCCCCGCCUAAAACACACAUCCUCUCAUUUAUUUUUACUUCCCUCUUUUCUGUUUUGCUCCACACUGCCCCUAUUAUGUGGUCCCAGCUAGGCUCACAGAGGUCCCUGGGGUGAGAGAUUGUCAGCGUGGAGGACAUUUGGAUGCACUGGUUGAAACCCAGGCUGCCCUCUCCUAGCCUGAGCUGCACCUGCCCACCUCCCAUCUGCAUUUCCAAAGCCUCGUGUGGAUGAAGGGGACCUAAGCAGCCUGCUCCCUGAGGGAGGACACCACCACUUGGAGCCACACAGCCUGAAGACAGAGAACAGUGUGGAAAUUGAGGAAAUUGGAUUUUGGAAAAUCAGGAACGUCCUAUGUGUCUCAACUAGAAAAGGGCAAAAGCCAAGAUUCAGACCUUAUCUAGUUCUAAUGCUGAAGACCUUUGUCUAAAGCAAAUCUGUUCUCGCCACA